AACGAACGCUGGCGGCAUGCCUAACACAUGCAAGUCGAACGAGAUCUUCGGGUCUAGUGGCGCACGGGUGCGUAACGCGUGGGAAUCUGCCCUUUGGUUCGGAAUAACAGUUGGAAACGACUGCUAAUACCGGAUGAUGACGAAAGUCCAAAGAUUUAUCGCCAGAGGAUGAGCCCGCGUAGGAUUAGCUAGUUGGUGUGGUAAAGGCGCACCAAGGCGACGAUCCUUAGCUGGUCUGAGAGGAUGAUCAGCCACACUGGGACUGAGACACGGCCCAGACUCCUACGGGGGGCAGCAGUGGGGAAUAUUGGACGAUGGGCGAAAGCCUGAUCCGGCAAUGCCGCGUGAGUGAUGAAGGCCUUAGGGUUGUAAAGCUCUUUUACCCGGGAUGAUAAUGACAGUACCGGGAGAAUAAGCUCCGGCUAACUCCGUGCCAGCAGCCGCCGUAA
rnacentral:rRNA from 1 species